CAGUAGCCACGGGAAUACGGAGGGUGCAAGCGUUAAUCGGAAUUACUGGGCGUAAAGCGCACGCAGGCGGUCUGUCAAGUCAGAUGUGAAAUCCCCGGGCUUAACCUGGGAACUGCAUUUGAAAUUGGCAGGCUAGAGUCUUGUAGAGGGGGGUAGAAUUCCAGGUGUAGCGGUGAAAUGCGUAGAGAUCUGGAGGAAUACCGGUGGCGAAGGCGGCCCCCUGGACAAAGACUGACGCUCAGGUGCGAAAGCGUGGGGAGCAAACAGGAUUAGAUACCCGCGUAGUCCCUGUCUCUUAUAC
rnacentral:rRNA from 1 species